AUGUCUGUAUGAAUUUUAUAUUUAGUCUAGCCUGCCCACUGAGUUUUUAAAGGGCUGCGGUAAUAUGACCGUGCAAAGGUAGCAAAAUCAAUAGUCUUUUAAUUGUAGGCUUGAAUGAAAGGUUUGACGGAGGGAAAACUGUCUUUUUUAUUUAAAUUGAAUUUAACAUUUGUGUGAAAAGGCAUUAAUGGUUCGGGGGGACGAUAAGACCCUAUAAAAUUUAACAUGUUGAUAUUAUUUGUUAGAAUUGUUAAAUAAUGAUCAAUUGAUUAAUAAUGUUUUGCUGGGGCGGCAUGAAUAUAAUUCUAACUGUUUUUUAUAUUUAAUAUGUAUGAAUAGAUUGUGGUCCUUUAUUGAAGAGUUAAGAUUAAAUUACUUUAGGGAUAACAGCAUGAUUUCUUCUGAGAGUUCUUAUCGAAGAAGGUAGUUGUGACCUCGAUGUUGAAUUAAAUUUUUAUUUGGAUGCAGGAGUCCAAAGUAGAGGUCUGUUCGACCUUUAAAUAUUU
rnacentral:rRNA from 1 species